UACGUAGGGUGCGAGCGUUGUCCGGAAUUAUUGGGCGUAAAGGGCUCGUAGGCGGUUUGUCGCGUCGGGAGUGAAAUCCACUGGCUUAACUGGUGGCUUGCUUUCGAUACGGGCAGACUGGAGGUAUGCAGGGGAGAACGGAAUUCCUGGUGUAGCGGUGAAAUGCGCAGAUAUCAGGAGGAACACCGGUGGCGAAGGCGGCUCUCUGGGCCUGUUCUGACGCUCAGGCGCGAAAGCUAGGGGAGCGAACAGG
rnacentral:rRNA from 1 species